rnacentral:rRNA from 1 species
GUAGGUGGCAAGCGUUGUCCGGGAAUUAUUGGGGCGUAAAGCGCGCGCAGGCGGUUCUUUAAGUCUGAUGUGAAAGCCCACGGGCUCAACCGGUGGAGGGUCAUUGGAAACUGGAGAACUUGAGUACAGAAGAGGAAAGCGGAAUUCCACGUGUAGCGGUGAAAUGCGUAGAGAUGUGGAGGAACACCAGUGGCGAAGGCGGCUUUCUGGUCUGUAACUGACGCUGAGGCGCGAAAGCGUGGGGAGCAAACAGGAUUAGAUACCCUGGUAGUCCACGCCGUAAACGAUGAGUGCUAAGUGUUAGGGGGUUUCCGCCCCUUAGGUGCCUGCAGCUAACGCAUUAAGCACUCCGCCUGGGGAGUACGGCCGCAAAGGCUGA